UACGUAGGUGGCAAGCGUUGUCCGGAAUUACUGGGCGUAAAGGGUGCGUAGGCGGAUAUUUAAGUGGGAUGUGAAAUACCUGAGCUCAACUCGGGUGCUGCAUUCCAAACUGGAUAUCUAGAGUGCAGGAGAGGAGAAUGGAAUUCCUAGUGUAGCGGUGAAAUGCGUAGAGAUUAGGAAGAACACCAGUGGCGAAGGCGAUUCUCUGGACUGUAACUGACGCUGAGGCACGAAAGCGUGGGUAGCAAACAGGAUUAGAUACCCUGGUAGUCCACGCCGUAAACUAUGAAUACUAGGUGUAGGGGGGAACCUCCCUCUGUGCCGCAGUUAACACAAUAAGUAUUCCGCCUGGGGAGUACGGUCGCAAGACUAAA
rnacentral:rRNA from 1 species